UCCAAUGGUUGACCAAUGGUUUAUUAGUGCUUCUACACCAAGAGGUCUGGGGUUCGAAUCCCAGCUACUGCGAUUUAUUAGCAAAUUUACAGAUUAAUGGAGGCAAGUGUGCAGGAGAUCUCCAACGAUGUACGAUUAUAACCGUUCGCCAGGAUUCUACGCAGAGAAGAUAUUGAACAUGUCCAUCAAGCGUAUGGAGAAAGAGAAGAAGGUGUCAUAUGUCGUGAAUUUAAUAAGGAUCGGAAGGAAAC
rnacentral:sRNA from 1 species